UACGAAGGGGGCUAGCGUUGUUCGGAUUUACUGGGCGUAAAGCGCACGUAGGCGGAUUGUUAAGUCAGGGGUGAAAUCCCGGAGCUCAACUCCGGAACUGCCUUUGAUACUGGCAAUCUUGAGGCUGGAAGAGGUUGGUAGAAUUCCCAGUGUAGAGGUGAAAUUCGUAGAUAUUGGGAAGAAUACCAGUGGCGAAGGCGGCCAACUGGUCCAGAUCUGACGCUGAGGUGCGAAAGCGUGGGGAGCAAACAGU
rnacentral:rRNA from 1 species